rnacentral:lncRNA from 1 species
GAGCAAUCGGAAGUCCUCAGUGCAAAAUUCAGAAGAUCAGAACACAUAAGAAAUCAAGAAAUCAUCAAAUUCCGGUAAUGCUAUAACGAAUUGCAGCAAUGGGUUUCACGAUUUUAGCUCUACGAUUUCAAAUCGUUUAGAGGGCUUUGAAGUUGCAGGCUACCAGGACCUUUAUUUUGCUGUUCAGGUCAUGGAGAUCAUUUCUUAAAAUUAUGGAACGGUUGGAAUAGGAGAACCAUUGGAGAUUCGAGUACUUAGUGGGCGCUCAAUUUCUAGAAGUCUUAGCUUAUUUGCUUCCGCUGUGCAAUGAAGAUACCAGUCCAGUCACGCCAGCUCUGAUAAUUUCGGGGUGUGACACUUCUGCCUCCCAAACACCAUAAGCAGGUUGGGAGGCCACAAAAGAAGAGAAAGAAAUCAGUUGGUGAGGCUGAAGUUGAAGCUCAUUUUGAUAUUGAGGGAAAAAUGACCAUGAAGGUCAAUACA